rnacentral:RNase_P_RNA from 1 species
GGCAGAGGGAGCCCGAUCCCCGUGCGUCCCCGGGCGGCCGCGGGCCGCGCCGGCGACGCAUGAGGAAAGUCCCCCCACCGCCCGGACGGGCGACCGGACGCAAGUCCGGAGCCGGAGACGGCUGGCGCUGGAACAGAAACGAGACCCCCCGGCCCGACCGAUGAGGUCCGCGAACCGACCCGCAAGGGGAGGGAGCUAACCGACCGAGGGCGGGGUCGCGGCGGACGUUCGGUUCGCCGCGGCCCCACGGGACGCCGCGUCCCGUCGACGGCCGGGAACGGGUGGAACGGCGAAUCCUCGCCGGUGCAAGUCCGCGCCGACGGGGCGCACUCGCGCCCCCGAUGGUAGUCCGGGCCGCCGCUUCGCGGCAUGGCGCGGACGCACAGCCGAAUGUCGGGACGAACAGAAGGGGGCUUACUCCCCUCAGCC